CUAAAUUGACCGCUGAAUUUAUGAAAUAUUUGGCAAAUUUCACAUAGUUAGAGUAUGUAGAAUUUCAUGCUCAUAUCGUUCGUUGUUUUUGUUGGUGCAAAUUUCGUGCCUUUCCAGUUGCUGUGCUGUGCUGUGCGCUGUCUGGAGCAAAAAUAGCCAAAAACGCGGCGAGUCGCGACAGGCGAUGGAUGGGCUAUAAAUAAGGCGAACGCAGACUGAACUCAACUGGGAAGAACUAACUGCAAUUCGCAUUCGGGUCGAGUUGAAAACUGUAGACUGACUCACCAGCUACACAAAGCUGAAAUGCUCAACUAAUAUUUCAAUUAGGAGAAACGCUCAAAGCGAGAAAGAGAGCGAGAGACGGAGAGGAAGGAAGGGUGAAGAAAAAAAGGAGAGUCUAAAAAGCAAUAGCCAAGUUGAUGACAUGCCCAACGUUAAUAAAAAGCGGCAGAAAUGUGCCAGAAGAGCAGGGCGAAAUAAAUUCCAUGGGACCCUAGGUGGUCGAAUAUUUUAACACUACCGGGCACUGAGUUGCCUCCAGUCUACACUCUACACAGUCUACACAGUCUACAGUCCUACAUACAGCAUCGAACAUUCAACAUUCAACAGUAUCUGUGCUCAUCGAAGACCCUAAGAUGUAGAAGACAGUGGCAAUCUGUGGCGCUGGCGUCUGCCUUUUAAUGUAGAAAACUAGUCGAGGCGCAUAAUUUACGACAGCGUCUGCCAAGGAUCACAUCAGGGGGAGGCGGCAGAGAGGCGGCGAGGAGGUGAGGGAAGCAAAGGGAAACAGCGGCGUUGACUUGACUUAUCAAUUUCACGGGAAUCCAAUCGAUUUUUAUAUGAGAGCGCGCAGAUAAACCGCAAAAAUCAAGCAAUAAAAUCGCUGCCCAAGCAAAAGAAACAAAACAAAACCAAAAAAAUAAAAGAAGACAACAACAAAGCACUAAAGUGAGGCAGAGCCGCGGUGCAAAAUGAAGAGCAGCCACAGAGGCUGACAAUGAGACAAGACA